rnacentral:rRNA from 1 species
UGGGAAUUUGGACAAUGGGCGAAGCUGAUCCAGCAAUGCCGCGUGUGUGAAGAAGGCCUUCGGGUUGUAAAGCACUUUUGUCCGGAAAGAAAUCCUUGGCUCUAAUACAGUCGGGGGAUGACGGUACCGGAAGAAUAAGCACCGGCUAACUACGUGCCAGCAGCCGCGGUAAUACGUAGGGUGCAAGCGUUAAUCGGAAUUACUGGGCGUAAAGCGUGCGCAGGCGGUUUGCUAAGACCGAUGUGAAAUCCCCGGGCUCAACCUGGGAACUGCAUUGGUGACUGGCAGGCUAGAGUAUGGCAGAGGGGGUGAGAAUUCCACGUGUAGCAGUGAAAUGCGUAGAGAUGUGGAGGAAUACCGAUGGCGAAGGCAGCCCCUGGCAAGUACUGACGCUCAUGCACG